UGGCUCAGUGAUUAAGAGCACUGACUGAUGUUCAGAAAGACCUGGGUUUGAUUCCCAG
rnacentral:tRNA from 1 species